rnacentral:tRNA from 1 species
GCCUUCUUGGUGUAGUGGUUAGCACGCUCGACGCCUAACCGAGAGGUCGUGGUUCGAUUCCCGGCGAAGGCG